GGAGAGAUGGCAGAGUGGUCGAAUGCGCCUGACUUGAAAUCAGAUGAACCUCAAGGGUUCCGUGAGUUCGAAUCUCACUCUCUCCU
rnacentral:tRNA from 1 species